rnacentral:rRNA from 1 species
UGGGGAAUAUUGCACAAUGGGGGAAACCCUGAUGCAGCGACGCCGCGUGGAGGAUGAAGGUCUUCGGGUUGUAAACUCCUUUUCUUGGGAAAGAUAAUGACGGUACCCAAGGAAUAAGCCACGGCUAACUCUGUGCCAGCAGCCGCGGUAAGACAGAGGUGGCGAGCGUUGUUCGGAAUUACUGGGCUUAAAGGGCGAGUAGGCGGUGGAACAAGUCUGAGGUGGAAUCUUAGGGCUUAACCCUAAAACUGCCUUAGAAACUGUUUUACUUGAGUCAGUGAGGGGAGGGCGGAAUUCCUGGUGUAGCGGUGAAAUGCGUAGAUAUCAGGAGGAAGGCCUGUGGCGAAGGCGGCCCUCUGGCACUGUACUGACGCUGAGGCGCGAAAGCGUGGGGAGCAAACAGG